GACGAACGCUGGCGGCGUGCUUAACACAUGCAAGUCGAACGGUGAAGCGCCUUCCUUUUUGGUGGGUGUGGAUGAGUGGCGAACGGGUGAGUAACACGUGAGUAACCUGCCCCCUUCUUCUGGAUAACCGCAUGAAAGUGUGGCUAAUACGGGAUAUUCUGCGUCUGUCGCAUGAUGGGUCUGGGAAAGAUAUUGUUUCGGUGGGGGAUGGGCUCGCGGCCUAUCAGGUUGUUGGUGGGGUGAUGGCCUACCAAGGCGGUGACGGGUAGCCGGCCUGGGAGGGUGGCCGGUCACACUGGGGAGGAGACACGGCCAAGACUCCUACGGGAGGCAGCAGUGGGGAAUAUUGCACAAUGGGCGCAAGCAUGAUGCAGCGACGCCGCGUGAGGGAUGGAGGCCUGCGGGUUGUGAACCUCUUUCGCCAGUGAAGCAGGCCUGCCUUGUUUGUGGGUGGGUUGACGGUAGCUGGAUAAGAAGCGCCGGCUAACUACGUG
rnacentral:rRNA from 1 species